CUGAUUAAGCAUUUAUGCAAAGUAAAAUAAAAAUCUGUUUGGCACAUUUUUGGCAAACUAAAAACUGUGAAAUUUGGCCUAUUUCAAAAAUAGAUCAAAUUCUGUCUUACAGUUUUUUUUAAAUUUUGUCUCUCAAUGCAAUAAACCACGACAAAUCAGCUGUGAAAAUUUCAUCAUGGGCUGUAUGGUAGAUUUUUGAGCAAUCUCGGAUCAAAGACUGACUUUUACAACCUUGGACGGGAAUUGAACUUCGUGCCUUUUAUUUAAGCAUGCGCUCAUGUGAUGCCAUGUAUAGCAUACAAGAAAGCAAGAGUAAAUUAGAACUCUUUUAUUGGUUGUUUAUCGACCUUUUUUUGUAAUAUUUUCUUGGUCCUUGGCUUCACCACAUGUUUGAAAGCAGUUUGAAACUCUCACUUGGUAUACCAAAGUAGUUUAAUGCAAUUCAAUGCUGAAGUUAUUUUCAUCUCUUCUUAGUGUUAAUUGCGUCAUAUUUACAUGCGCAUUUAAUACUGCCACCUGGCAGGAAAUCUUGGCACACACUACUGAGUCUCGGAAAAACUGCAGUAUGCCACUGUAAAAUUCCUGUUAUGGAUAUUUCCCAUGGUGCAUUUCAACCUCAACUUAUCAAAGUUAUAACUCUUCACUUUACAGAACAUGCAUUAGUUUUGGAGAAAAACAAACAUUCAAACUUCACCAACAAAAUUUAUAAGAUAACUAUGCUGGGCAAAUAAAAGCCAUAGAACCAUCUAACAAAAACCUGUGUCUAGAUAACCUUUGUAAAAUUGGGUGCAAUAUAGAGAAAACAGUAGGCAAUAACUGUUAUUACAUUUAUCAGCAGUUUGAUGUACAAAGAAGUAAAUUACUGUUGAAAAGGUUAAUUCUGGUUUGUGUUAAAGAUGAUUUCCAGUCCAUACUGCGCACUCUCGCAAGUUUGUUUACAUUUUUUGAUUUUCAAGUAAGACAUCACAAAAUGUUAACAUUUUGAAACUACUUACAUGAAGUAAAUUCAAAGUGUCAUGUCAACUGCUAUUAUGGAUGCAAAGCUUUCUGCUUCAUUUUUUCUCAUAUCACUCGAUGAAACAACUUCACAGCUGUUAAAAUCAAUGAAGCUGUUGGAAAAGGAAUUUGAAAGGUCUCAGAUAAGGUAUGUGGUUUGUAACGAAUAACACUGAUUGGCAUUCCAUUGAGUGAGACUUAUAAUGUUUAUAAAGAUAAGGGUGCUGAGACUGCGCAGCACCAACUGGAAAUAAUCUUUAACCCUUUCAUGUCAUUUGUCUUCUUCAACAAAGGAUAUUUGACCACAGACUAAACUGCGAUAACAGCUAUUGCGUUGUGUGACGAGCACUAUUCACAUUAGACCCCAGACCCCUGGUGCAUUUGCCAACUACAAAGUGGGUUGAUUUUACUAUUUGGCAACAAUUUAACUGUUGCAAGAAAGCAGCAAAUUUGUGCCAGCAAUUCAGAAAAAAAGAAGCAUGCAAACAAGGGACAGAUGUAUGCCUAACAUCACUUGAUGAUGAGAAGGCCAGCAAGAAAGUGAUGGGAGAAGUGUACCGUACUAGAAUGCCACUGCAAGCACCAUUCCUUUCAAAUUUUGUUCAAAAUUUAACUUUAUAUAUGUGUGUUUUGUGGGAAUCAAUGUAACGCAUCCUGCAAAGUAAGGAUAAAUUCUGCGAGUAGAAAGCUGUGUCACAACAUUUACUAAUUUGUUUUGCAAAAAAUUACAGCCAUUCAAUCCUGUAAAUCUACUAUCACCAUUUACAAUAGUGCAGCAACUGAUGAAAGCAGGGAUAACACUCUCCAAUUUCAAAUCACUAAUCACGAGUCAAAUUACUUUCAGUUUUAAAAUUAUCGCACUAAUAUACACACCAGUUGAUGCAGAUUUGACAAUCUCUUAAUAAGCAUGGUAUACGUACACAUCACAACACUAUUAAAAUGCUUCGUCAUUAUCAUCAGUCAUUGUUGUGCCUUGGGUGUAUAGUGUAGUCGUAAUUGAAUCAAUAGUCACCUACAGGCUGAUCACUUUCUUGCGUGGGAUGUUCACUGUCAUCAUACACUGGUUCAAACUUGACAGUGAGUUGUCCUUGUGUUUUGUUCUUGGGUGCAUGAUGUUAAACUAGUUACUAAAGAUGGAUCAACUGAUGUGUCCUCUGGGGGUCUGAGAGCAUCUCUCGCAUGAAUGGUCUCACAGGAAUGGCUUGAUACCUUUUGAGAGGACAAUAGAACAAAUGAUAGAAACAGUGCCCCUAGCCCGAAAAAACAAUAACAGCUGUUACACUAUGAUGAUAUAGAGCUGCUACACUUCGGCCUUUAGGAGAAUUCACAAAAGUUGUAGCUCUGUAAUUGCUACAGAAAUCAAAGCUACCUAAGCCAGGAAUGAUGAGUAGACAGACUUGAAACAGUCUGCAAUAUGUGUACUACCAACUGCUAAAAAUUACUUCGCCACAUUAUAGAUGAGAAUUAAGUCACAUCCACUGCUAUCAUGACGUGAUAUAUUCUUGUUUAUAGGAUUUUUAUUGUAUUAUGUUGUAUGCGUAAGAGAUGUUUUCACUGUUAAUUCCAGCAAAGGUCGUUGAAGACGAUGAGGCUCUUCAAUUUUUAGCAGACAUAGUACCUCCCAAAGUUCUCGUUAAAGAUUUCAUGGAAUCCUUAAAGAAGUCGAGGAAGUCUUCCAUCGAAAUUCGCAGUUCAAGUUCGGAUUCUGAGUCAGAAUAGAACUUUGUUGAUGGCAACAUUACUUCGAAUAAUGAGGGAAAAAUUUCACCUUGAGUAUGUUCAUUGGUCAAAACAAGCUGAGGAUUGCAUGGACCAGUUAUCUGAAUGGUUCAACAGCCAUCUUUCUUCUACAUAGUGUACAAGUAGUUUACCACGCAACGGUUGUACUUUCACUUCGGCGUGCACUUAUAUGUCUGCGGUGCUCGUGUAUUACAAGUCACACGUCAAACAUUUUGGAAUUCCAGCUCCAUACGGCUCCAGGGCUCCGGUGCAUAUACCUCAGUGGCGCCAGGGAACGGUGAUUGACCUUUUGGUCCGUACACCAAGAGGACAAAAGAAACACUUAGAUCCUCGGGCUCUAAUCAGGAGUUCCACGGACCUUUCAUUUGCGACUCUAUACAUUUAGGCCCCUACACAGUCCCUCACUUAGCACAGUCUGACUGUAUAUAGACGUAUUAAAGCACGUUUCUGGAUAAGACAGAGAGCUGUAGUGCUAUGUCUCUGGGCUGGGACGGUGACCGGCGUGAGCAAAUCAUAUUUCGAACCGUUCAUAGGGACAAAUAGAAAGGGAAGCGGUCAAAAUAACUAUUUUGUUCUAAAUGGCCAUGAAUUUGCCUGGUUAACAUGAUUUCGUUAUAAUCCUGUAUUUUCAACUCCUGAGGCCAUUUUUGAAUCCAAUGCAUUUUGUCAUGGCCAGUCGUCCCUUAAAGGAGAAGGUCACUCCAAAAACUGUGUAUUUUUUCCAUCACCAAUAAAAAGUUCACAUUGAGUUGAGUAA